CUGAUGUACUGAUAAGAAACUCGGUGUGAGA
rnacentral:piRNA from 1 species